GUAUAUCAAAUCUCAAACCAGCUUGGGGUUUCUGUCUGUAGGCCUCAAACCAGGCCUGUCUGUAGAACAUGGCAAGGAGGCCAUUCUAAACUUUUCAUGUGUAUGUUUCUAUUCAUAAUCUUAAUAUUUAUACUGGUUACCUUUAAAAAUGUAUUUAAAUCUCAAUGGAAUUAUGUAAAGAAUGAUCAACACGUGGUUUCUGAAAAUGUAGUAUGGAAGAGCGUAUCAGCACAGAGAUUUGAGGAGGUGAGUGCUGUGUCACUUGGAACUCAUGGUUGGUGUAGGAGGUGGUAAGUGACAUGCCAUUGUUAAAUUUCAGCUCAUGGCUAAUGGAGAUGAAUGUCCAGUAUGAAGAUCUGGAUUAUUGUCUCUGAUUUGUAGGGUGGAGCAUGAUGAGUCCUCUCUCACUCACAGUUGUAAGCCACUCUUUGAGAAGUCACUUUAUUCGGCUUAAUUACAGAUAACUGGCUUAAGAUGACAUUUAUUAAGCAAUAUCUUCCCAUUAAGAUUGGCCAUCGAAGUGAGCUAGCUUCCUCUGUACAUGGUUCAUGUCAAUGGAAUAUUUUUAGCAUUUCCUGUUAUAUAAAAGUAAAAUUCUUCAGGACAUAAAACAGUCGGAUUCAAUACUCAGGGCCUCCAGUAUUUUAAAGAUUGUAAUAGCAUGGAAUUAUAAGUUUGUGCGUGUGUGUGUGUGUGUGUGUGUGUGUGUUUGUCAGUGUGUAUACACGCAUCUUUGUGAAUGCAUCAAAGCUAGAGAUCAUCAUGUAUUCUGUUCUAUCCUUCCCUGCAUUAUACAUUUGAGGAGGGGUCUGUCCCUGAACUCGAGAUAGGCUCCUGAGCUCCUAGCAUCCUUCUGUGUCUGGUCCCCACCACACAGGUGUAACACAGAAAUGUGCAGCUGUCCUUGAUGUCUUAUCCAGGUUCUGGGGAUCCGGAUUCAGCUGCUUAUGCUUGUGUAUCAAAUAUCUGAGCCUCUUUUACCUUCCCCAGGUCUAACGUGUAUUCUGUGUGUAUUCUGUGUUAAAACCGUUGGCUAUUUUGUAGAUUCUAAGAGUCAAGAAACAUGCUUCAGUCAAGAGUGACAGCCACAAUUUAGAUGCACGGCUGUGGGAAGGAAAACCAUACUUCUAAUAUGAAACUUCUCUCAAUAAUGAAGAAUGAAAUGGAUUUUAAAUAGGUCACUCGGUUCUAUCAUAUGCCUCUGAUAAGUGGGACCGCCAAAUAAAAUUCAGAAAGAACCAA